ensembl:lincRNA
GUUAGAAGUUCUUCCACCAGCUACAGGGGGAUUUGCUCCCCUGGGUCCCCUACUCGGAGUAUCAUGAUGCUCCCAGUCUGUUUCCAAAGUGCAGGCUGUCUUCAUUUUGCCUAAGGCUAGCCUUCUUUAUACCACCAUGCUACCUUUCAGAGGUUAUAAACAAAUGGUUUUGCUUGUUCAGACACCUCAAGCUGUCAAGUGGCAUGUCAUCUCCCCG